AGAGUUUGAUCCUGGCUCAGAACGAACGCUUGCGGCGUGCUUAACACAUGCAAGUCGAACGAGAAAGGGACUUCGGUCCUGAGUAAAGUGGCGCACGGGUGAGUAACGCGUAGGUAAUCUACCCCUGUGUUCGGGACAACAUCGGGAAACUGGUGCUAAUACCGGAUACGUUUCACGGAUUGCGAAAUAAGUGAAGGAAAGGUGGCGCCCCUUCGGGGGGCUAUUGCACGGGGAUGAGCCUGCGUACCAUUAGCUAGUUGGCAGGGUAAUGGCCUACCAAGGCGACGAUGGUUAGCGGGUCUGAGAGGAUGAUCCGCCACACUGGAACUGAAACACGGUCCAGACUCCUACGGGAGGCAGCAGUGAGGAAUUUUGCACAAUGGGGGAAACCCUGAUGCAGCGACGCCGCGUGAGUGACGAAGGCCUUCGGGUUGUAAAGCUCUUUUGUCAGGGAAGAAACGGUGAGGGCUAAUAUCCCUUGCUAAUGACGGUACCUGAAGAAUAAGCACCGGCUAACUACGUGCCAGCAGCCGCGGUAAUACGUAGGGUGCAAGCGUUAAUCGGAAUUACUGGGCGUAAAGCGUGCGCAGGCGGUUGUGCAAGACCGAUGUGAAAUCCCCGGGCUUAACCUGGGAAUGGCAUUGGUGACUGCACGGCUAGAGUGUGUCAGAGGGGGGUAGAAUUCCACGUGUAGCAGUGAAAUGCGUAGAGAUGUGGAGGAAUACCGAUGGCGAAGGCAGCCCCCUGGGAUAACACUGACGCUCAUGCACGAAAGCGUGGGGAGCAAACAGGAUUAGAUACCCUGGUAGUCC
rnacentral:rRNA from 1 species